rfam:Ictidomys tridecemlineatus contig013857, whole genome shotgun sequence.
UGGGAUGUAGCUCAGUGGCAAAGUGUCUGCAUUGCAUUUGCAAAGCCCUGGGUUCAACCCCCAGUUCCCAA